AUGAGAAGGUUGAUCCGUAUGUUCACCUGCCCCAACUUGCUUGGGACAAAAGGCUUUGUUGUUGUUGUUGUCGUUGUCGUUCUUGUGGUUGUUCUUGUCAUCGUGGUUGUCGUCGUCGUCGUCGUCGUUGUUGUUGUUGUUGUUGUUGUUGUCGUUGACGUUGUCAUUGUUGUUGUUGUUGUUGUCGUUGACGUUGUCAUUGUUGUUGUUGUUGUUGUCGUCAUGGUUGUCGUUGUUGUUGUCGUCGUGGUUGUGUCGUCGUCAUCGUCGUCAUUGUUGUUCACCUUUCCUGUUUAUCAACUCAUGUGA
rnacentral:rRNA from 1 species